rnacentral:rRNA from 1 species
CCUGAGAAACCCAAAAGAUCGAAUGGGGAGAUUCAGCGUCAGCGUUCUUGGCGCGUGUNCGGUGUCGCGAUGCCGGUGACUUCGGUCACCAGGCACGCGUCCGCAUGUUUUUUUUGCCUCGAUCGUCGGCGUGCACUUCUCCCCUAGUAGGACGUCGCGACCCGUUGGGUGUCGGUCUACGGCCCGGGUGGUAGCCUGUCUCGUGUGCGCUUCACGGCGUUACGCGGUUCAGACCCCUGGUUGCCCGACCGGCUGCCCGGCGGUACUCGCACGGUAUCUGGCCGCAAACAUUCGAACUGCGUCCGGCCCGUCGCAAGCGCGACAAGUGUUUCCCGGUUGUACGGAUCUAAUGCCGUCACCGGGCCUUGUCAGCUGUUGGUUGACGGUGUCCUUGGACUGGCUAAUACAAUUAUGAUACCGGUCGGCGACGCUACUGCUUUGGGUACUUUCAGGACCCGUCUUGAAACACGGACCAAGGAGUCUAACAUGUGCGCGAGUCAUUGGGAACUAUUAAGCCUAAAGGCGCAAUGAAAGUGAAGGUCGGCCUUGCGCCGACCGAGGGAGGAUGGGCCGCGUCACGAUGCGGUCCCGCA